AUUAGAACGCUAGGCGGCAUCGCCGUUACGACAUGCAAGUCGAACGGCAGCACGGACUUCGGGUCUGGUGGACGGAGUGGCGAACGGGUGAGUAAUACAUCGGAACGUGCCUAGUAGUGGGGGAUAACUACUCGAAAGAGUGGCUAAUACCGCAUGAGAUCUACGGAUGAAAGCAGGGGAUCGCAAGACCUUGUGCUACUAGAGCGGCCGAUGGCAGAUUAGGUAGUUGGUGGGAUAAAAGCUUACCAAGCCAACGAUCUGUAGCUGGUCUGAGAGGACGAUCAGCCACACUGGGACUGAGACACGGCCCAG
rnacentral:rRNA from 1 species